rnacentral:rRNA from 1 species
AAGUCCUCAUGGCCCUUAUAGUGGGGCUACACACGUCAUACAAUGGCUGGUACAAAGGGUUGCCAACCCGCGAGGGGGAGCCAAUCCCAUAAAGCCAGUCGUAGUCCGGAUCGCAGUCUGCAACUCGACUGCGUGAAGUCGGAAUCGCUAGUAAUCGUGGAUCAGCAUGUCACGGUGAAUACGUUCCCGGGUCUU